UUAGCGUCUGAGGAUGGGUCUGCGGCCGAUUAGGUAGUUGCUGGGGUAACGUCCCAACAAGCCGAUAAUCGGUACGGGUUGUGAGAGCAAGAGCCCGGAGAUGGAUUCUGAGACACGAAUCCAGGUCCUACGGGGCGCAGCAGGCGCGAAAACUUUACACUGCGCGAAAGCGCGAUAAGGGGACCUCGAGUGCGUGCGCAAUGCGUACGCUUUUCAGAUGCCUAAAAAGCAUCUGGAAUAAGGGCCGGGCAAGACCGGUGCCAGCCGCCGCGGUAACACCGGCGGCUCAAGUGGUGGCCGCUAUUAUUGGGCUUAAAGGGUCCGUAGCCGGACCAGUUAGUCCCUUGGGAAAUCUUACGGCUUAACCGUAAGGCUGCCAAUGGAUACUGCUGGUCUUGGGACCGGGAGAGGCAAGAGGUACCUCAGGGGUAGGAGUGAAAUCCUGUAAUCCUUGAGGGACCGCCAGUGGCGAAGGCGUCUUGCUAGAACGGGUCCGACGGUGAGGGACGAAAGCUAGGGGCACGAACCGGAUUAGAUACCCGGGUAGUCCUAGCCGUAAACGAUGCGAGCUAGGUGUCACGUGGAUUGCGAAUCCAUGUGGUGCCGAAGGGAAACCGUGAAGCUCGCCGCCUGGGAAGUACGGCCGCAAGGCUGAAACUUAAAGGAAUUGGCG
rnacentral:rRNA from 1 species